rnacentral:rRNA from 1 species
CCUACGGGUGGCAGCAGUGGGGAAUAUUGGACAAUGGGGGGAACCCUGAUCCAGCCAUGCCGCGUGUGUGAAGAAGGCCCUCGGGUUGUAAAGCACUUUCAGUGAGGAAGAACGCCUGGUGGUUAAUACCCAUCAGGAAAGACAUCACUCACAGAAGAAGCACCGGCUAACUCCGUGCCAGCAGCCGCGGUAAUACGGAGGGUGCGAGCGUUAAUCGGAAUUACUGGGCGUAAAAGCGCGCGUAGGUGGCUUGAUAAGCCGGUUGUGAAAGGCCGGGGCUCAACCUGGGAACGGCAUCCGGAACUGUCAAGCUAGAGUGCAGGAGAGGAAGGUAGAAUUCCCGGUGUAGCGGUGAAAUGCGUAGAGAUCGGGAGGAAGACCAGUGGCGAAGGCGGCCUUCUGGACUGACACUGACACUGAGGUGCGAAAGCGUGGGUAGCAAACAGGAUUAGAUACCCGGGUAGUC